GCUUGCCACCAUCUUGGAAGCAGCCCGCCGCCAUCUUGGGAGCUCUGGGAGCAAGGACCCCAGAAUUGGAGGAAAAUACUGGGCACCUGUCGUCCGGUUCGUCUGUCUGGAGCCAGCUUCCACUUUCAAUUUUCUUGGAGAAACCAAGGGCCGACUAGAGGCAGAAAGCUGUCAUCCCGAACUCCUGACAUUAGCCGGUUGAGAUCAUGGCACAGCCAGAAGUCUCUACAGUCGCCCAUGCGUGUGCCCCUACCUUUCCCUCUGACCCAUACCUCCUGGGUCCCGACCACGACUUUCUUGAAAGUGUAGCCCCAAAAUUCUCCUUACCUCUGAAUCUGCUUCCUCUGAUCCCUGCCUCCUAGGUACUAAUGGUUCAGACUUUCAUUUCCUCUAGCAAGCUGUAUCUCGAAAGGGAUCUAAGGAAGCUCUACGCUGUGUCCUGAGGCAUCUAGACAUAAACCCAGGGAGUCUUAUCCCUGGUGUCCCUCCUGAUUUAGGUAUACAGCUCUCGAUAUGGGCAGUUAUGUGGGACCCGUUCCCCACCACCCUUGCCAGGGCCCCAAGUUUGUAAUGGCUAAGAGAAGAGAAAGAGUGACAGAGGAGAGAGAGAUGGAAGAGAGAAAGAGAGAUGGAAGAGAGAGAGAGAGAGAGAGAUGGAGGAGAGACAGAGGAGAGAGAGACAGAGGAGAGACAGAGGAGAUAGAGAGAGAGAGAUAAAGAGGGAGUCAAAGAGAAAAAGAAAAAGACAGAAAUAGUAAACAAACAAAC
rnacentral:lncRNA from 1 species